rnacentral:rRNA from 1 species
GAUGAACGCUAGCGGCAGGCUUAAUACAUGCAAGUCGAGGGGCAGCAUGAAUGUAGCAAUACAUUUGAUGGCGACCGGCAAACGGGUGCGGAACACGUACACAACCUUCCUAUAAGUGGGGAAUAGCUCAGAGAAAUUUGGAUUAAUACCCCGUAACAUAAUGAUGUGGCAUCACAUUAUUAUUAUAGCUACGGCGCUUAUUGAUGGGUGUGCGGCUGAUUAGAUAGUUGGCGGGGUAACGGCCCACCAAGUCUACGAUCAGUAGCUGAUGUGAGAGCAUGAUCAGCCAAACGGGCACUGAGACACGGGCCCGACUCCUACGGGAGGCAGCAGUAAGGAAUAUUGGUCAAUGGACGCAAGUCUGAACCAGCCAUGCCGCGUGAAGGAUUAAGGUCCUCUGGAUUGUAAACUUCUUUUAUCUGGGACGAAAAAAGGCGAUUCUUCGUCACUUGACGGUACCAGAUGGAUAAGCACCGGCUAACUCCGUGCCAGCCGCCGCCGUAAGAC